rnacentral:rRNA from 1 species
UACGUAGGGACCAAGCGUUGUUCGGAUUUACUGGGCGUAAAGGGCGCGUAGGCGGCGUGGUAAGUCAGCUGUGAAAUCUCCGAGCUUAACUCGGAACGGUCAGCUGAUACUGCUGUGCUAGAGUGCAGAAGGGGCAAUCGGAAUUCUUGGUGUAGCGGUGAAAUGCGUAGAUAUCAAGAGGAACACCUGAGGUGAAGACGGGUUGCUGGGCUGACACUGACGCUGAGGCGCGAAAGCUAGGGGAGCAAACGGG